rnacentral:tRNA from 1 species
GCGAGAGUGGCGGAAUGGCAGACGCGCACGUUUGAGGGGCGUGUGGGAGACCGUGUGGGUUCAAGUCCCAUCUUUCGCACCA